UACGAAGGGGGCUAGCGUUGCUCGGAAUGACUGGGCGUAAAGGGCGCGUAGGCGGAUGGCACAGUCAGAUGUGAAAUUCCCGGGCUUAACCUGGGGGCUGCAUUUGAUACGUGUGAUCUAGAGUGAGGAAGGGGGUCGUGGAAUUCCCAGUGUAGAGGUGAAAUUCGUAGAUAUUGGGAAGAACACCGGUGGCGAAGGCGGCGACCUGGUCCUUGACUGACGCUGAGGCGCGAAAGCGUGGGGAGCAAACAGG
rnacentral:rRNA from 1 species